rnacentral:rRNA from 1 species
ACCGAAGUCGCGGACUUCUGCUUUAGCAGGAGUGGUAGCGGAGCGUCGAGUCUGCACAGAAGCAGCGGUGGAAACCGAUGUGGAGCGGGCUCGAGUGAGAAUGUUGGCAUAAGUAGCGAGAGAGGGGUGAGAAACCCCUCCGCCGGAAGUCCAAGGGUUCCUGGGGAAGGCUAAUCCUCCCAGGGUAAGUCGGGAGCUAAGGCGAGGCCGAGAGGCGUAGUCGAUGCACAACCGGUUGAUAUUCCGGUACCACGGAUUGCGCGUAAAACGUUGACCCAAAGUGCUAAGGGGAUGUCUGAUCCUUCGGGAUCAGAAGGAACUUGAACCACUCUGGCAAGACGAGUGAAGCGGGGACACAGGAAGGUAGGUGAACCCAGGCGAUGGUUGUCCUGGGGCAAGCGUGUAGGUCGGGGCGUAGGUAAGUCCGCUCCCCAUUAAGACUGAGACGUGAAGCCGAGCCGUUUAAGGCGAAGUCACUGAUCCUAUGCUGUCGAGAAAAGCCGCUAGCGAGUGCAAUCGGUGCCCGUACCCCAAACCAACUCAGGUGGACAGGUAGAGAAUACUAAGGCGAUUGGGAGAACUAUGGUUAAGGAACUCGGCAAAUUACAUCCGUAACUUCGGGAUAAGGAUGACCUCGAUAGAGUAUUAGGCUUUACGCCUAGAAGCUCGAAGAGGUGUCACAAACCAGAUGAAAGCGACUGUUUACUAAAAACACAGCAGGGUGCAAAGUCCUAAGACGACGUAUACCCUGUGACGCCUGCCCGGUGCCGGAAGGUUACGGGGAAGGGUUAGCCUUCGGGCGAAGCUCUGAACCUAAGCCCCGGUAAACGGCGGCCGUAACUAUAACGGUCCUAAGGUAGCGAAAUUCCUUGUCGGGUAAGUUCCGACCUGCACGAAUGGCGUAACGACUUUCAUACUGUCUCAACCAUAGACCCAGCGAAAUUGAAGUACGAGUAAAGAUGCUCGUUAGCUGCAGAAGGACGGAAAGACCCCGUGGACCUUUACUACAGUUUGGUAUUGGUGUUUGUUAUGCGUUGUGUAGGAUAGGUGGGAGAUUUUGAAGCGUUGGCGCUAGCUGACGUGGAAUCACACUUGAAAUACCACCCUGCGUUUGACGGACAUCUAACCUAGGCCCGUAAUCCGGGCUGGGGACCGUGCCAGAUGGGUAGUUUGACUGGGGCGGUCGCCUCCUAAAGUGUAACGGAGGCGCCCAAAGGUUCUCUCAGUCUGGUUGGCAAUCAGACGUUGAGUGCAAUGGCACAAGAGAGCUUGACUGCGAGACUUACAAGUCGAGCAGGUGCGAAAGCAGGGCAUAGUGAUCCGGCGGUUGCGUGUGGAAGCGCCGUCGCUCAACGGAUAAAAGGUACCCCGGGGAUAACAGGCUUAUCUUCCCCAAGAGUCCAUAUCGACGGGAAGGUUUGGCACCUCGAUGUCGGCUCAUCGCAUCCUGGGGCUGAAGCAGGUCCCAAGGGUUGGGCUGUUCGCCCAUUAAAGCGGUACGCGAGCUGGGUUUAGAACGUCGUGAGACAGUUCGGUCCCUAUCCUCUGCAGCCGAAGGAAAUUUGAGAAAUGCUGUCCCUAGUACGAGAGGACCGGGAUGGACGUAGCUCUAGUGUGCCAGUUGUUCCGCCAGGAGCAUGGCUGGUUGGCUACCUACGGAAGGGAUAACCGCUGAAAGCAUCUAAGUGGGAAGCCCGUUUCAAGAUGAGAUUUCCCACCGGGAAACCGGGUAAGGCCCGUGGCAGACCACCACGUUGAUAGGCCGGAGGUGUAAGCACGGCAACGUGUUCAGCCGACCGGUACUAAUCGGCCGAGGGCUUGGAUUAU